rnacentral:rRNA from 1 species
GGCUCAGGAUGAACGCUAGCGGCAGGCUUAAUACAUGCAAGUCGUGGGGCAGCAUGAGUAGCAAUACUUGAUGGCGACCGGCAAACGGGUGAGGAACACGUACACAACCUUCCUUCAAGCGGGGAAUAGCCCAGAGAAAUUUGGAUUAAUACCCCAUAAUAUAUUUGAUAAGGCAUCUUAUUAAUAUUAAAGCGUUCGGCACUUGAUGAUGGGUGUGCGGCUGAUUAGAUAGUUGGCGGGGUAACGGCCCACCAAGUCUACGAUCAGUAGCUGAUGUGAGAGCAUGAUCAGCCACACGGGCACUGAGACACGGCCCGACUCCUACGGGAGGCAGCAGUAAGGAAUAUUGGACAAUGGACGAAAGUCUGAUCCAGCCAUGCCGCGUGAAGGAUUAAGGUCCUCUGGAUUGUAAACUUCUUUUAUAUGGGACGAAAAAAGGGCAUUCUUGUUCACUUGACGGUACCAUAUGAAUAAGCACCGGCUAACUCCGUG